ensembl:lncRNA
GGAAGAAGUUGUUGUGAGCAGAGAACCUGUCUGUGCAUUCUGGACAAGCUGUCCUUACUGUCACAUACAGAGGAGGGAACUUAAAGGUGUCUCCGUGUGGUUCUGUAACCCAGCUGUCCCUGCACAUGGACACGCUGACUAAAGUCAUGCCCAUAAAUAGAUCCUGCCACACACAUAUGAGGAUGAUUUGCAUAGGAAACAAGAAGUAGGUGCCAUGAAGUUUCAGAUACCUCCUGGUUUUCUACACUGAGUCACUGUGCUGUUAUCUCCACUGGCUCUUGACAAAUGCAGGAUACAAGAAACUCUGAAACUGAAGACAGCCUGGAGCUGAGCAUCAGUCUAUUAAAAGCACAG